AACUCACUGCAGACUACUUGGCUCUGGUGUGUACACACUCAGCUCUGUCCUGGCACAUCUUGCUUCUUGAUUGUUUGUUUGACUUACUGGAAAAGAGCUUGCCGUUCCCAAGAUCCUCUACAGGGUGCACAACGGUGUGUGUGGCAAGGCUCCAUGUCAGGGGACAGCCAGUUGGCAGGUGGGGCCGGUGGCAUGGGUGCACACUCAGACCCGCCUGGGGUGGGGGCUUGGCACUCAGAGGAGUUGCAUUCGGACAUCUUCUUGAAAGGAGCUGUCAACGCUGGUCCAAGGGCACCGGGGACUCUGGGCAAUCCUGGUCUGCCGGCAGUCUUUUCCUUUCCCUUCCGGCCACCCCGUCCUCCUACCCGGGGUGUAAGGACACCAUCCCCAAGGUGGAGGGUCCAGGUGGCAGGCAGAGUGAGAUACAGCGGGAGGAGCACUUUCACUGGUGCCAUAGAAUUUCCUACUCCUGAGAUGGAAGGGGAGCCAAGGAGCAUCCAGUCCAACUGCCUCACUUCGCCCCCAGGAGGGAGCCAGACCCAGAGAGGGAGGCGGGAAGGAAUCAGACCUCAUCCUGGAGAGAACCAGUGUUGUCUUAGGAUGGAGUUCAACCACUGGAACGUCGCCGUCGCCGGGGCGCAGGGGCCGAUCCGAGCAUGUGCGGCAGGUGUGAAGCCCCUGCACCCUCCGCUUCCCCACUCCUGCUCUGGGCUGAGGGGCUGCUACCAGUCUCCCAGGAAAAGACCUCGGGGACCUCAGAGGAACAGCGGCGGGAGCCUCACCCGGGACCAGCCUCCUUCCAUGGCACAUCCCAGCUGGCCACCCUUCUGGGGGCGAAGGGUGUGCGCGCGGGCUGGGUACCUCGGCGAGUCCCCAGUGGACUUCCAGAGCAGAGACGGUGCCCCAGGAUUCACCUCACUUCCCAAAUGAUGCGCUUGCAUGGCGCCCGGGGCCACCACGGGUGCUCGUCACACCAGGGAAACCUCCGUGGAGAGAUGCUGUAGCGCCUGGAGCCCUGGCGCCGACGCAGCAGCUCGGGACCAGGUGCCAGGAGCCCCUGAGCUGGAAAUCUAAAACCCACACGCUUUUGAGCAGAGUGUGGAACGCUGCGCACUCUGGAACUUUGUUAGAUGCACAUAGAUAUUUAAAAACAUCAUAUAAAAUUACCUUCAGGCUAUGUGUUAAAGGCAAAUGUGUUGAAACCUAAAUGAAUUUUGUGUUUAGACUUGUGUCCUAUCCCCAAAAUAUCUCAUGAUGUAUAUGCAAAUAUUCCAAAUCCCCCAGAUCCCAAAGUCUGAAAUAUAUCCGAUUCUAAAACA